UCUACCCUUAGGUACGGAAUAACUCAGGGAAACUUGUGCUAAUACCGUAUAAUGUCUUCGGACCAAAGAUUUAUCGCCUUUGGAUGAGCCCGCGUUGGAUUAGCUUGUUGGUGGGGUAAUGGCCUACCAAGGCGACGAUCCAUAGCUGGUCUGAGAGGAUGAUCAGCCACACUGGGACUGAGACACGGCCCAGACUCCUACGGGAGGCAGCAGUGGGGAAUAUUGGACAAUGGGCGAAAGCCUGAUCCAGCAAUGCCGCGUGAGUGAUGAAGGCCUUAGGGUUGUAAAGCUCUUUUACCCGGGAUGAUAAUGACAGUACCGGGAGAAUAAGCUCCGGCUAACUCCGUGCCAGCAGCCGCGGUAAUACGGAGGGAGCUAGCGUUGUUCGGAAUUACUGGGCGUAAAGCGCGCGUAGGCGGCUUGCCAAGUCAGAGGUGAAAUCCCGGGGCUCAACCCCGGAACUGCCUUUGAAACUAGCAGGCUAG
rnacentral:rRNA from 1 species